GACGAACGCUGGCGGCGUGCUUAACACAUGCAAGUCGAACGGAAAGGCCCUGCUUUUGUGGGGUGCUCGAGUGGCGAACGGGUGAGUAACACGUGAGUAACCUGCCCUUGACUUUGGGAUAACUUCAGGAAACUGGGGCUAAUACCGGAUAGGAGCUCCUGCUGCAGGGGGGGGGUUGGAAAGUUUCGGCGGGUGGGGCUGGACUCGCGGCUUAUCAGCUUGUUGGUGGGGGAGUGGCUUACCAAGGGUUUGGCGGGUAGCCGGCCUGGGAGGGUGACCGGCCACCUUGGGCCUGCGGUACGGCCCAGACUCCUACGGGAGGCAGCAGUGGGGAAUAUUGCACAAUGGGCGGAAGCCUGAUGCGGCAACGCCGCGUGCGGGAUGACGGCCUUCGGGUUGUAAACCGCUUUCGCCUGUGACGAAGCGUGAGUGACGGUAAUGGGUAAAGAAGCACCGGCUAACUACGUG
rnacentral:rRNA from 1 species